AUUUGGCUUAGUUAAGAGGCAGAAAUGGAUUCGAAAAUCAGAGAAAUGGGGUUCCCCAUGUUUCUGGUGGAUUAAACUCGGGCCUCUUGAAAGGGACUCUUGGGUUUUCUUUCUUCUUCCCGUUGUCCCACAAGCAGCCCUGGACAUUU